CCGUUUCUUUCUUAAUUCUCUUAGAUUUGGACUUCUCUUUCUCUCUCUUUAUUUCUCUCAACCUCUAGCCCCAGCGCCACUUACCCCCAUUCUUCUUCAUCAUCUCUUAUUUAUUUCAUCUUCUCUCGAAAAAAAAAAAAAAAAAAAAAAAAAAAAAACCCCUAGCUGCUAAAUUUCUCUCAACCCUAGCGGUCCCUCGUCCAAUUUCUCUUAACCAUGGCCUCCAUUUUAGGUCUCGAGUUCACAAAAUUUGGAGAGCUUUCUCUCUCGCCUGCAAAUGAAGGUGGCUGAGUACGAGAGCCUGUGGUGGACCACCGCCAAAAAACACUAUGAAUUUUCUCUGAGUCAGCUAAUAGCAGCUGAGAACGACUCACACGACAUCGACCGCCCCACCGCCACCAUCUCAUCGGCUUCACGCAUUCUCAGGUAUGCUGCAAGAACAGGCCAACCUUAAUUCUACUUGUCUUCUGACUUUGAUGUGCUUCAUUUAUGCCACUGAUAGGAUUGAACAUCAACGAAGGAAGGCAAUUGAAGUUGAAUAUGGAGAAGGUUCUGACACAUUUAAACUUGUUGGACUCUCAGGUUUGAUGUGGUAAUGAAUUUAUUGAGUUAUAUGUAUAUUAGACAAAUUGUGUUUUAUGUUUUGUCAAAUUGAAUUUACUGAUUAUACUUUCUACUGCUUUGACUUACUACUGUUAAUUUUUACUUCGAGUAGGAUUUUUUUGAACGAUAAAUUGCAAGAAGAUUUUCUUGAACAAAAAAAAAAAAAAAAGCCAUGAAACCUGAUGAUCUAAUUGCGUAAUAUUGAGUUUUUUGGGUGAGGGAUUUCGAGUUUUCCGCCAAGUCUUUCCCUUAUUUUUAGUUUUUGAGUUGCAGGUAAUACUUUAUGGUCAAUGUGAUCCUAUAUCUAUUUAAUUAAUUAUAUUCUUAGAUCAUGUAGGAAGACUAGCAAGUAGCAAUGUUGCUGCUUUUUAAGUCAUUUAUUCUUCUUAUUUGGAUUUGAUGUGGGAUAUCCAUGACUGAUUGUUCAACCCAAAAUCUGGGAUUGUUGUUUUUAUGGUUUUAAAAGAUGAAGAUUAGAGGAAUUUAAGUGCUUUAGUUGAAGAAGGAAAACUGUACAUAUUCAUGUAUGACCCAUAUUGCUUCCUCUCUUUUUCACCUAUCUGAUCCUUUGGGAGUUUGAUCUCCACCAUAUAUAGUUUCUUAUUCUUAUUCUUCUUAAUUAAUAGUUAUUUGAAGUAAUAAUAUUGGUAUGUGUGUGUGUGUGUGUGUGUGUGUACGGAACUUAGAACCUAGAGUGAGAGUGAGCAACUAUUGUGAAAUGGCCCAACCCAACAUUCAUUUGCAAAUCUGAUUUAUAGAAAAUCCUGCCAGACUGUCCUUGUUGCCUUCCCCUGCCAAGAAGAAAAGAGUGUUAGACUGAAAGCUAAGCAUUUCAAUGCUUUUUUGAUUGUAUCCUAAUAUCACCAGUACUACUACUUCCUUUCAACCCUUUCAGUUGUCAUUGAAUGGCAUAGCGUUUCGCGAUUUAUCUCUGAAUCUUGUCAGUAUCUUAGUUGCUUGGAUUUCUCAGAAACCCCUUAUGUGAUGAACCAUAUGAAAAGAAUCAGUUUAAAUCAAAUAACUGUGAGAUAAACUUAUCGAAUAUUGACUCUUAUCAAUUAGUAUUUUAUAUAGGUGGCAUGAUGGGAUAGUCCCAUCAGAGUUCCAUCAUGCUUGAAGUGGGCUCCUCGCAGAGCCAUGUUCAUUGUAUGAUAUUCAAGGUUUGAUUUUCUGAUGCAAUUGCUAAAGCCUAUACACAUUAACCACAAAAUUUAUUUAAAAAUCUUUAUUAUUGGUUUUUGCAUUAUUUGUUGGGAAAUAUCCAUUCCCCUCCAUGCUUAUAAUUUUUUAUGCAAGGAAAACAAGCAAGUUGGCAAAUAUUUUUGUGUUCCUUAAAAAAUUAAGAUUACUGAUUUAUUUCCCUUAUUUCAAUGCGAAUGCAGCUACAUAAAAUCUACUGAACUAAUGGAAAGACCUAGCGUAUGGUUGUGGUAAAGUUUUGGUUGGUAAGGUCCUCCUGUUACUCAUGUGAAUCAGUUGUAGAGUGAUUUUAGUGUUUGAAUUUCAUCUUUCAAGCAUUAUCUGAAUUGCUUGAGUGCUUGAGUGCUUCAAUGUUUGAAUUAGAUCUUUCAAAUUGUAUGUGAAUUGUAGUCCGUUAGGGAAUUUUUUAUCAAAAUGUAAUGGAUGCCUUUUGGGUAAUAAUGCGUAUCAAGACCUUUGAAUUUGUUGAUUCAAAUGUUUGAACA